rnacentral:rRNA from 1 species
GAAAAACUCCGGUGGUAUGGGAUGGGCCCGCGUCUGAUUAGGCAGUCGGCGGGGUAACGGCCCACCAAACCGACGAUCAGUAGCCGGCCUGAGAGGGCGACCGGCCACAUUGGGACUGAGACACGGUCCAAACUCCUACGGGAGGCAGCAGUGGGGAAUAUUGCACAAUGGGGGAAACCCUGAUGCAGCGACGCCGCGUGAGCGAAGAAGUAUUUCGGUAUGUAAAGCUCUAUCAGCAGGGAAGAUAAUGACGGUACCCGACUAAGAAGCCCCGGCUAACUACGUGCCAGCAGCCGCGGUAAUACGUAGGGGGCAAGCGUUAUCCGGAUUUACUGGGUGUAAAGGGAGCGUAGACGGCAAGGCAAGUCUGAUGUGAAAACCCAGGGCUUAACCCUGGGACUGCAUUGGAAACUGUCUGGCUCGAGUGCCGGAGAGGUAAGCGGAAUUCCUAGUGUAGCGGUGAAAUGCGUAGAUAUUAGGAAGAACACCAGUGGCGAAGGCGGCUUACUGGACGGCAACUGACGUUGAGGCUCGAAAGCGUGGGGAGCAAAGAGGAUUAGAUACCCUGGUAGUCCACGCCGUAAACCCUCAAGGGUAGGUGCUGGGGAGCAAAGCUCUUCGGUGCC